GACGAACGCUGGCGGCGUGCUUAACACAUGCAAGUCGAACGGAAAGGCCCUGCGUUUGUGGGGUUCUCGAUUGGCGAACGGGUGAGUAACACGUGAGUAACCUGCCCUUGACUUUGGGAUAACUUCAGGAAACUGGGGCGAAUACCGGGUAUGAUCUCCUGCUCCAUAGGGUUGGUUGGAAAGUGUCGGCGGUGGGGGAUGGACUGGCGGCUUAUCGGCUAGUUGGUGUGGUAGGGGCUUACGAAGGUUUUGACGGGUAGCCGGCAUGGGAGGUGGGCCGGCGACAAUGGGACUACGAGAGGGACCAGAAUCGUACGGGAGGCAGUAGGCGGGAACCUUGCGGAAUGGGCGGGCGCGUGAGGCAAAAGCCCCGCGUGCGGGAUGACGUCUUUCGGGGUGUAAACAGAUUUCGCAGGUGCCGAAGCGGGAGUGACGGUAACGGAUAAAAAAGCAACGGCUAACUACGUG
rnacentral:rRNA from 1 species